rfam:Rattus norvegicus chromosome 2, whole genome shotgun sequence.
GGGGAUUUAGCUCAGUGGUAGAGCACUUGCCUAGCAAGCGCAAGGCCCUGGGUUCGGUCCCCAGCUCUA